rnacentral:lncRNA from 1 species
UAAUAUUUUAAUUCUGAGUAGUUUUUCCCCCGAGUAGGUAAAAAACCACUAGCAUUAUUUCAAAUCUGAUUGUAAUGAAGUUAGCUGUGACUGACUCACCUUUCACUGCUCACCUCUAAUUUCAGACCUUGGAUGCUGCGCCUUUCCCUGGAUGCUCGUUCUCCUCACAGAAUCCAAAUAUUUUGAGGCUUGGACUCCAGCAAAGUUCACAGAUGUGAAAAGAGAAUCAAUAGGGUCUUGCUAAGUUGCCCAGACUGGCCUGGAAUUUGAGAUCCUCCUGCUUCAGCCUCUGGAAGUAGCUGGGGUUACAGUCCUGUGACACUGCACCACCGCAUCCACUGUUGUUUUCUUUGUUGAUGACAUUUUUAGAAAAGUGGUGAUUAAAUUAGGUUUUAUAUAUUUAGCUGUGCUUUAUAUUAAUUUACCAUGUUGAUGAAUCACCAAAGCAUUCAUUAAAGACAUUGAUAUAAACUACCAUUACCUUAAAUGUGUCAUUCUCCAAACUGUCUUUUGUGACAGUUGUGUUUCGGGCAAUGUUAACUAUGGUUUCUGUGAUCAAAGAGUUUUGCAGUCCAUUUAGUUUGGAAAAACUUGCAUUUUUA